AAUCCUACGGGGCGCAGCAGUAGGGAAUCUUCCACAAUGGACGAAAGUCUGGUGGAGCAACGCCGCGUGAGUGAAGAAGGGUUUCGGCUCGUAAAGCUCUGGUGGUAGUGAAGAAAGAUAGAGGGAGUAACUGGCCUUUAUUUGACGGUAAUUACUUAGAAAGUCACGGCUAACUACGUGCCAGCAGCCGCGGUAAUACGUAGGUGGCAAGCGUUGUCCGGAUUUAUUGGGCGUAAAGCGAGUGCAGGCGGUUCAAUAAGACUGAUGUGGAAGACCUUGGCGCCAGCCGCGAAUUGCAUCA
rnacentral:rRNA from 1 species